rnacentral:rRNA from 1 species
GGAUUAGAUACCCUGGUAGUCCACGCCGCAAACGUUGAACACUAGUUGUUGCGGGUAUUGACCCCUGCAGUGACGACGCUAACGCAUUAAGUGCUCCGCCUGGGGGCUACGGCCGCAAGGCUAAAGCUCAAAGGAAUUGACGGGGGCCCGCACAAGCGGUGGAGUAUGUGGUUUAAUUCGACGCAACGCGCAGAACCUUACCCGGCCUUGACAUCGAGGGAAAGCCCUGUGAAAGCAGGGCCCUCACCUUCGGGUGACCCAAAGACAGGUGCUGCAUGGCUGUCGUCAGCUCGUGUUG